rnacentral:misc_RNA from 1 species
UUCCUUGAUCACAUCAUAUGAUUUACAUUUUGAGAAGGACUCAAAUGACUUGGUGGUGAGUGGGGACAUCGGACUUCAACCAUUGGUCAUAACAGCGAUACGUCGUAUCAACUCUAGUAUUUAUCGUGCAUACGUUUGUCUUUACACCUGGUUGAUAUUUUUUUUAUCGUCGUGAAGUUUACGUGACGUGUAACGUAUUACAAACAUUUAAGUGUAAUACGUUGCUAUUAACGUAGUGUACCAUUUGAUUAUCAGUAAUCGGUGUCAUCGCAGGCCAAUAUUUUGAUUAUUCAAAGUAUGUAAAUUAACUCGUGACCGCACCAUGAUCCUGGAGUAAAUGUUCGAUUUAUGUCAGAACCGAAAUAACAAUAAUGGCUGGCCAAAAGUUCCAGUAUGACGAAAGCGGAGCGACAUUUUUCUAUUUUCUAUUGUCGUUUUUAGCUCUUCUGCUAAUCCCCGGCACGUAUUACUGGUGGCCGAGAAAACAGAAAGAAGAUCCAAAAGCGUUGGCGUCUGAAUGUUAUUGUCCAGGAUGUCGAAAAAAAAAACUCAUCCUGCAGUCCACUAAACCGUGGGAACUGAUGAAGAGGACGCUCACUAAAGUCAUAAUUAUUGCUGGCUGGGUGUUGUUAGCUUUUCUCGCCUACAAAGUUUCUCAGUUUGAUUAUGAGAGUGCAAGUUUUGAUCCAUAUGACAUUCUCAAUGUUCCCAUUGGAACUAGUGAAAAAGUAAUUAAAAAAGCUUACAGAAGGUUAUCAUUAAUUUACCAUCCAGAUAAGGAAACUGGUGAUGAAAAAAAAUUCAUGAAGCUUACAAAAGCUUAUCAAGCCUUAACGGAUGAUGAGUCCAGGAAAAAUUGGGAAAAAUAUGGAAAUCCAGAUGGACCUGGUGCAAUGAGUUUUGGAAUAGCAUUACCAUCGUGGAUUGUAGAAAAAGAAAAUUCCGUUUGGGUCCUAGGUCUUUAUGCUUUAGUUUUUAUGAUUGCACUGCCUACUACAGUUGGUAUGUGGUGGUAUAAGUCUAUCAGAUACUCUGGAGAUAAGGUUUUAUUAGAGACAUCUCGGAUGUACUAUUAUUUUUUGCAUAAAUCAAAUUCAAUACCUUUGAAACGAGUUAUAAUGAUUUUAAGUGCUUCAUUAGAAUUUGAAAAAAAAUACAACAGUGAAAUUGUUGAAAGAUCUUCGGAUGAACAUGAAAUGCCUCAACUUAUUAAACAACUUUAUAAUUUUGGAGAAAAAGCACAAAAAGAACCACCACUAUCCUAUAAUUAUUCAAUAAAAGCUAGAGCUUUGAUACAUGCACAUCUGUCUCGCCUGGUACUUAAGGCAGAUACAUUAGAUUUAGAUCGUAUGUAUAUUGUGAAGAAAUGUCCAUAUCUAAUACAAGAAAUGGUUGGUGUCGUUUCUCAAUUAAUUUUACUUGCAUAUGCUCAGAGAGUGCCUCGUUUACUUAAUAUUGAAACCAUAGAAAACUGUAUGAAACUUUGUCCCAUGAUAGUCCAAGCAUUAUGGGAGUAUAAAAGUCCAUUUAUGCAAUUACCAUACAUUACAGAAGAUCACAUAAAACAUUUUGAUAAUAAAAAGAAACGUGUUAGAAGUAUUCAGCAUCUUGCUCAAUUAAAAAAUGAAGAGAGGCGCGCAACAUUAAAAUUUUUAUCAGAUAGUCAGUAUGAAGAUUUGGUAAAAGUAUUGGGUAGAAUGCCCUAUAUAGACUUUAAAGUUCGUUGUGAAGUGAUUGAUGAUGAAGCAACUACAGUUUAUACAGCUGGAGCUAUAGUAACUGUGACUGUGCAGUUGAAAAGACGUGAUAUGAAAGUAUUGUUUGGUGACGAUUCGUUUGCAGACAAGCAUCAUAUUGAGUUAGAAAAAAAUGCUGCUAAGGAAACAGAUAAAUCAGAGAAACCUUUAUCAAAUGGAAAUGUAAUAGAAAAUAAUGAAGAUUUUGAAAAUAAAGAAACUAAAGAUGACGAUAAAGAAAAAAAAGUAACUAAAGGUAUUUGGCAGCAAAAACGCCAAUCGGGAAAAGGUAAAAAAAGUGGAAAUGUCAAAAAACCAAAAGCUACUUUGUCGGCAUCAGCUAAGAAAAAAAUUAAAAAGAAAGAAAAAUUGGAAAAAGCAAAACUAGGAGAUCCAGAAAUUAAAGAAACUGAAGAUGAUAAACCUGAAGAGAAAGAGCAAUUAAAAGAUAGUAAUGCGUCAUCAAAUGAUGAUUCUGAUUCAGAUAAUGAAAGUUCUAGUGAUGCUUCUGGAGAUGAAUCAGAGAAAUCAGAUGCUGAAGAAACAGUAGAUGAUAAAAAAAAGGUUUCGUCAAAUAAUGAUGAUGACGAUGAUGAUGAUUGGGACAAAUUCCAAUCUGGAGCUAACAAAAAAGACAGAGUACUUGAGGGCAGAACAAAACAAUCACAUUUGGUUCACUCCCCAUAUUUUCCUGAGGAAAAACAUGAAUAUUGGUGGGUUUAUUUGAGUGAUCGAAAAAGCCGUACAUUGUUGACUGUUCCAUAUCAUGUCACUGAACUUGUAGAUGAAGAAGAAAUUCAAUUAAAAUUUACAGCUCCUAGGUGGCCUGGAGUAUAUGUGUUUGCUGUUUGUCUUAGGUCAGAUUCAUACUUUGGUUUCGAUCAAAUGCAUGACAUCAAAUUGGAUGUAAAAGAAGCACCAGAACCUUUAACAGAACAUCCACAGUGGGAUAUUUCUGAUGAAGAAGAUGACACUAAAGAAGAAGAUAAACAAAGUGAUAUUUCAGAGUUUACUACAGAUGAAGAUGUCGAAGAUUAAAUAAUAUUAAUACAAACACAAAAAAAUUGGGUGACCUGACAAACAAAGAAGUUCAAACAAUAGAGUUAAAAACACCUCUGUGAUGUUGCAUAAUGUUACGACAUUUGCACUCCAAUAUGCAAUGUUUGUGGGAGAGGAUGAGCUGCAGCAACCAGUUUUCUUCGAUUUUUUUUGGCUAUUCUUAUUUGGAAUAAAGUACAGCUAAAAUUUGUCAAAAAUAACAAUUAUUACAUUUACGUAAAAGAAUGCAGUAAAACACAACAGCAAUAAUUAUAUAAGUUUUUCCUUGUUUAUACUUUUCUUUUUUAUAGUUAGACAAUUAAACAAGGUCGUUGGCUUCUCGAUAACGAUAUUGUUUUGAUUAAUAUUGUAAGAUCUUAUUAUAUAAAUACUGCUUGACAAUUCCUUGUAAUCUAUAUCACCAUUAAAAGCACUUAAUAUUUGUAUGACUUCCUUUCUUAA